UACGUAGGGUGCAAGCGUUGUCCGGAAUUAUUGGGCGUAAAGAGCUCGUAGGCGGUUAGUCGCGUCUGCUGUGAAAACUCGGGGCUUAACCCUGGGCCUGCAGUGGGUACGGGCUGACUAGAGUGCGGUAGGGGAGACUGGAAUUCCUGGUGUAGCGGUGAAAUGCGCAGAUAUCAGGAGGAACACCGGUGGCGAAGGCGGGUCUCUGGGCCGAUACUGACGCUGAGGAGCGAAAGCAUGGGUAGCGAACAGG
rnacentral:rRNA from 1 species